rnacentral:rRNA from 1 species
ACAGCAGCAGCCGCGGUAAUACGUAGGGUGCGAGCGUUAAUCGGAAUUACUGGGCGUAAAGCGUGCGCAGGCGGUUCGUUAAGACAGAUGUGAAAUCCCCGGGCUUAACCUGGGAACUGCAUUUGUGACUGGCGAGCUAGAGUAUGGCAGAGGGGGGUAGAAUUCCACGUGUAGCAGUGAAAUGCGUAGAGAUGUGGAGGAAUACCGAUGGCGAAGGCAGCCCCCUGGGCCAAUACUGACGCUCAUGCACGGAAGCGUGGGGAGCAAACAGGAUUAGAUACCCCUGUAGUCCCUGUCUCUUAUAC